GGAGAUAAGUCAGAAAUAGUGAGUUUUAGAGAUUUUUUAAGUGAUAAAUUGUCAGACUUUUUAUUCGGAAAAUGGAAGCUAUGAUUUGGUUAGUAAAUAAUUUUGAAAUAUAGUUUAGAUGCAAACAACUGAUCGACAGAAAUUGUUCAUGAUCGUUCAUCGUGGGUGGGUGUGGAGAAUGACCUUCCAGUACAUUGAAUGGCCCUCGAUUGACCCCUUUGCAAAGGAAAUAACUCUAAGACUUGUUCAUGUGAAAGCUAGAUGUCUGACCCUGGCAUAUUCCAGUAGCUGUCAAUUUGCUGACAGUUAUGAGGAUGUGUCUGAGUUGACUACCACUGAAAACCCUAUCCUUAGGGCUGCAUAUAGAGCAGCGGCAGCUGUGACCACCACAGAAGAAUCGUCAACCAAUGCUCAACAAAUAACAACUGAUAAUGAAAUAAUUACUAGCGAAGUAACACUGAUUGAUACAACAUUAGAUACUACAACUGAUAUUGAAGAGUCAUCUACCACAGUUGCCACAACAGAAACCAGCACUACAGACACUGAUACAGCAACACCAGAAUCCACCCCUGACACGACCACAGAAACAUCCUCUGACAGUAUGGCAGACCCAAAGAGUACGGCCACAAUGGUCAGCCAGACAACAAAUGCCGCAUCCAAUAACACAACAACACAGAAUGUGACAUCAGCACCAAAUACCACAAUUUUUAUGACUACUACAGACAUUCAAACCACAUCCAUGUCAACCAGUGUACCUGAGAUAGCCUCUACAAGUAAAGUCACAAUGACUAGUGCCCAAAGUGAGGCCACCAAUGCUGAAACUUCAUCAACAUCAAACACAGUGAUAACAUCAACUAUUCCAACUACCACAGGAUCUGUGACAGAGCAGACAACAGAGAUGACAACAAGUUCAAUGUCCUCUCGAUCAGUAACAUCAACUGAAUUACCAGCAGCUACAAGUGAAACCAUUUCUUCUGGAACAGAGUCUGCAACAGAGGAGGGAUUGACAUCUCUAUCUACUGAACAAAUAUCUUCUUCCAGUGAGUCAACAAUUGUCACAGAUUUGUCAACAAAAGGCGAAACUACUGUUGAAUCAACAUCUGAAAUGCCUUCAGUUUCUACUUCUGAAAAUUUAACUGCUUCCCCAAAUUCCACAAUGCCUGCCUCAUCUACUUUGUCCUCUCAGUCAAUCCAACCAACAACAGAAGUUUCUGAGACAACUUCAGAGACAACUUCAAAAGAGCCUGUUUCAACCACUGAAUCGGCUUUGACUUCUGAAUCAACAACACAGAUCUCUGAAUCCACUUAUUCUACAAUGUCUGAAUCAACAACAGUGCCCUCAAAUACUACAGAGAGAUCAACAACUCAAGGACUAACAACGCAGCCCACCAGACAGACAACACCGACAACACAGGUGACAACUAACCAGACACUACCACCUGUUGUUCCGUCACAGUCAACCUCUGUCACCACCACCACUGUGGUAACAACUGCUUUGACUGAUUCCAGCACAGUAACAGCGGGUCCUUUGGUAGCCAUUCUUGUUCCCUCAGUCCUCUUGUUCUUCAUCAUCCUAGCUGUCAUCUUCUCUGGAUUCAUCAUCUUCAAAAAGAAAAACCGAAGGAAAUUGACAGACGAAGAGAUUGCAGGAAAUGAUGUGAUCUUGGUGCCACUUACUGCAAUUCCUAUUGCACCUUAUGGUGUCCCUAAAAGAGAAAAGAUUGAUGACUCCCUGCCGUAUGAAUAUGAUGAUGAUGGAGAUUUAGUCUACACUGGAGAUGAACAUGAGCACCCUAUACCUGUCAAAGAUAUCCAAAGUCACAUCAUCAAACUCCAGGAACAGAACAGAUUCACCGCCGAUUACCAGAGUUUACCAGAUGGGAUGUUUUUACCUACCAAAGAUAGCAAACUUGAAGAUAAUGUGCCUAAAAACAGAUACACCAACAUGUUGGCUUAUGAUCAUUCUAGGGUGAAAUUAAGAGACUUGCCGAUUGGACAUACUGAUUACAUCAAUGCAAAUUAUAUUGAUGGAUUCAAGAAAAAGAAAGCAUACAUUGCAACUCAAGGUCCACUGAAGGCUACCACACCUGAUUUUUGGAGUAUGGUCUGGCAAGAAGAAGCCAGGAAAAUUGUCAUGGUAACAAACCUCAAGGAGAAUAAAAGGGUGAAAUGUCACAAGUACUGGCCCGACGAGAAAAAAUCCAUCAGUUGUUACAAACUGAGAGUUACCACCGAUUCUGAAAAUGUCUUCCCAGUCUUUGUUCUCAGGAAAAUCAAAAUUACUGAUACAAAGACUGAUGAGAGUAGAAUGGUGACCCAAUACCACUUUACCGCCUGGCCUGACCAUGGCGUUCCUGAUGCAUUCCAGCUCCUACAGUUCUACCGCAAAGUCACCGGAAAUAGCACAGAAUAUGAGGUUCCUCCCACUGUCGUACACUGCAGUGCAGGGGUAGGGAGAACUGGCACCUAUAUUGGUCUGGACGCCUUGUGGAAAGAAGGCUUCAAGACUGGAUCCGUAGAUAUCCUAAGCUUUGCUAGAAAAAUGAGGAAAAACCGAACCAAGAUGAUCCAGACUCUUGAUCAAUAUACUUUCCUACACUUCAUUUUGAUGGAGGCAUUUACCAAUCCUGAUGCUGUAUUGCCAGGAAGCAUAACAUCAAAACUAAAAGGUCCACAAGAUCCCAAAAUACUCCAAAGAGUUAAUGCAGAGUUUGAGAAAUUAAACGCCCUGCGGCCAGAAUAUCAGGUGACAGACUACCAAGAUGCACUUCAUCCGAAUAACCUGCCUAAAAACAGAUCACAGGAUAACCUCCCUGUUGACAAUUACCGAGCUCGUUUGUCCUCCAUGUUUGGAGAAGAUGAGGAUUACAUUAAUGCUGUGAUAAUGCCAACAAGUUGGAACAGGGAGGGGUUCCUUGUGACACAGUACCCGCUACCGACCACCAUCGCAGACUUCUGGACCAUGAUCCACUGCUAUGAGUGUUCCUCUGUUGUACUGCUGGACGACCCUCAGGACUAUGAAGAAUGUUUCUACCCUGCUCUGGAGCAGACAUCAGAAUGGGGUCGUCUGGUGAUGCAGACGACUGCUGUAUCGGAGCCCCAGGACUGUGUCACAGAAAUCUCAGUCACCAUGACUAACACAGUGGUAGAAAACGAGGUGGACAGGGAAGUCAAGAUCUUUGUGGGUCAAGGUUGGAAAUCGUCCAGUGAGCUGCCUGAUCAGCAGAAGUUGCUGCACUGUUUACAUUAUGAGGUGCAGAAACGGCAGAACAAGCUCGGGGAGCAUAAACCUAUUAUAGUUGUAUGCAGUAGUGAUGGAGCGACAAAGAGUGGACUUUAUUGUGCGGUAUGUAAUAUACUGGAUGGCAUUGACUGGUACAACGAGGUCAACGUGUACCACUCUGUACGACAGCUCCAAAUCCGGAAACCUGAGAUCAUCAAAUCGAAGACUCAAUAUCAAUACUGCUACCAAGUGGCCUUGAAUUACUUGGAUUCCAGUAAUAUUUACGAGAAUCAGGGAGCAACAGUAGAAGAGGAGGAGGAGAGGGAGGCAGAAUACGCCAAUGUGGGGGUGGUUCGAUCUGGCCUGAAGGGGGACCCACUCAAAACGCAGGGAGCUAAAGGUCAAGGGAUGAAACCAAGUGCUCAAGGACAAAGUGAACUUAAAUCUAACUCUGGUCGCACAGCUACAUCACGUGACCCACUGAAACCCUCCAGCAACACAGAUAUGAAGACCACCAUCUGAAGCUCAAUCUUCCAAACUUCAAUUUGAAUGUUAAUUUGCAAACUCUUUGUUGCUUUGUGCAGUGAACAAAGCUGUUCAAGUUUGGAUGCCACAAGUUUGCUUUUCUUGAUUGUUCAUAACAAUUUUUAUGUUUGAUUUAUGUAAUUAUUGUCUCUAUGUAAUGAUUGUUCACAAUAGUCCCACUAUGCCCUAUCCCUAAGCGAUUUUUUUUUAUAUUUUAAAUACAUGCAUGUACAUGUAUUCUAAAUUUCUAAACAUACAAUAUACUUUAGAGAAAUCCAGUUUCUAUUCUUAGAAAUGAGAAGUGAAGUAUGUUUCAUGAUAGCGGAGCCUGGUGUUCAGAAUUAAAAGCUCAUCAGAAUUAUUGGUUAUUGCAGUUUAUGAGGCUUGAUGUAUCUUGUAAGCUUAUGGUUUCAGUACAUUGUAAUGUGUUAUAGAAGAAAAAAAGAGAGAGAGAGAGAGAGAGAGAGUACUCCAGCAUGAUCCAAUUUACACAUCUUACAAUGUAUAUUUUAAUCUUAUGUUUUAUAGAUUGGAGUGAGUUUAGAAUAUAAUGUACUAGUGUAUACUUCUGUCUGUGACAUUCCCAGUACAUUUUAAUUGUAAUUUUAUACCAUGUACUUAAUUUAUAUGACUUUUUUAACUAUAUACAUGAAGUUUUCAUAUAUUACAUGUGUGAACUUUUACACAUGUAUUUAAAAAUUUUCAGCUUUUAAAGAAGUAUAUGUGUUUUUAAAAUUCAAUUCUCAUUUAAAUUAUUUCAUUUGGCGCAUUUUGAAGUGAUAUAUUUGAAGGCAUUGAUUUAACUUUCAUUUUAAAUGAAUAACAUGAUCAGGCCUUAGAACCAUUAAUUGAAAUUACAUGUACAUCCAAGUUAAAAAAUAUAAUUAAAUUAUAAAAAUAUGUUUCUGAUUUUUAGUUACUUAAGUUAUAUUUUGUGUGGUUACACUUUGUUUGAAACAACUUUUUAGGAAAUCUUUGGUUUCAUUCAAUUAUUGGAUAUUAAGCUAUGUAAUUCAAAGUUUAAGCAUGUACAUGUACAUAUAGUCUGUUCUCCUUAUAUGGUUCUUGAGGCCUGACUUUCAUACAUAUAUUGGUUAUUCUCAAAUCAGGAUCAUUAACAUGAUUUGAUAUAUUUUAAAGUGCAAUAUUUGUUUAUUUUGAUUGAAUUGCUUUUUGAACGCAGCUUAUGAAGUAUAGCAUUGUUAUUUUAAUGGUUACGCAUUCGUAUGCCACAUAACUCAGAUAUACAUGAAUGAAUAAGGAAAACUCCUAUAAUUCAAAUGAUCGAGUCUUGUUUGAUUUGUGAAUUGUGCAGACAAUUGUCAUGUUGGUGUACAAUGUUAUAGAAAUUUGUUAUUCUGUUUGUUACGUUGACGAAAAUGAAUGUUUCAUGAUGUGCCAAUUCCAAAUUGUUAAUUGAGUCACUAUAAUUUUUCAUAUUAAAUCUUGUAUUAUU
rnacentral:sRNA from 1 species